CCCUUAGAUGUCCUGGGCCGCACGCGCGUUACACUGAUGCAUUCAACGAGCUGAUAACCUUGGCCGAGAGGCCUGGGCAAUCUUGUUAACGUGCAUCGUGAUAGGGAUAGAUUAUUGAAAUUAUUAAUCUUGAACGAGGAAUUCCUAGUAAACGCAGAUCAUCAAUCUGCAUUGAUUACGUCCCUGCCCUUUGUACACACCGCCCGUCGCACCUACCGAUUGGAUGGUCCGGUGAAGCCUCGGGAUUGUGGUUCUUGCCGCUUUAUUGUGGCGUGACCGCGAGAACUUGUCUAAACCUUAUCAUCUAGAGGAAGGUGAAGUCGUAACA
rnacentral:rRNA from 1 species